rnacentral:antisense_RNA from 1 species
CUUGACCGAGCCGAGCAGCAGGGGCCGGUCGGCGGGGCGGUGCUGGCCGUAGGUGGCGAGCAGGGCCUGGGCUUC